rnacentral:rRNA from 1 species
GCUAAACAGCUAGCUCAAACACCAAAACAAACAUAUCAACAUCAAAUAGUUUUUCUCGAACCAACAUAAGUAAAUUAAAACAUUCUCCUGCCUUAGUACGGGCGACAGAAAAGGCAUUUAGAAGCAAUAGAAAGAGUACCGCAAGGGAAAGCUGAAAGAGAAAUGAAACAACCCACUUAAGCCCAAAGAAGCAGAGAUUAAAUCUCGUACCUUUUGCAUCAUGAUUUAGCCAGAAUAUUUGAGCAAAGAGAACUUUAGUUCAAAACCCCGAAACCAAGUGAGCUACCCCGAGACAGCCUAUUACAGGGCCAACCCGUCUCUGUGGCAAAAGAGUGGGAAGAUCUCCGGGUAGAGGUGACAGACCUACCGAACUUGGUGAUAGCUGGUUGCCUAGGAAAUGGAUAGAAGUUCAGCCUUAUAUUCCUCGACUCACACAUCAUAUAUUUUAUGAGAACGAGAAAUAUAUAAGAGUUAGUCAAAAGAGGUACAGCUCUUUUGAACCAGGAUACAACCUUAUCAGGAGGUUAAGGAUCAUAUUUAACAAGAUUACUGCUUCAGUGGGCCUAAAAGCAGCCAUCUGAAUAGAAAGCGUUAUAGCUCAGGCAGACAAAAAUCUAUUAUUCGGAUAAAUUAUCCAAAACCCCUCCCCAUACUAGGCCGUUCCAUGCCAACAUGGAAGCGACACUGCUAAAAUGAGUAAUAAGAAGAUAUGCUCUUCUCCCAGCCCAUGUGUAAGUUAGAUCGGACUAACCACUAACAAUUAACGAACCCAAUACAAGAGGGCAAUGUGAUGUAAGACAAAACCAAGAAAAUUUCACAUUCUAUUAUCGUUAACCCCACACCGGAGUGCUAUUAAGGAAAGACUAAAAGAAAAGGAAGGAACUCGGCAAACACAAGCCUCGCCUGUUUACCAAAAACAUCGCCUCCUGCAAAAAUCAACGUAUAGGAGGUCCUGCCUGCCCAGUGACUAUUAGUUAAACGGCCGCGGUAUUUUGACCGUGCUAAGGUAGCGUAAUCACUUGUCUUUUAAAUGGAGACCUGUAUGAAUGGCGGAACGAGGGCUUAACUGUCUCCCCUUUCUAGUCAAUGAAAUUGAUCUGCCCGUGCAGAAGCGGACAUAAAAAUACAAGACGAGAAGACCCUUUGGAGCUUAAGACAUCAGGCCAACUAUGUCAAAAAUUCAAAUAAAAUGAAAAAGAACAAAACAGCAACUGGCCAACGUCUUCGGUUGGGGCGACCGCGGGGGAUAGAAAAGCCCCCAUGUGGAAUGGGCAAAACCCUAAAACCAAGAGAGACAUCUCUAAGGCGCAGAACAUCUGACCAAAAGAUCCGGUAUCAACCGAUCAACGAACCUAGUUACCCUAGGGAUAACAGCGCAAUCCCUUCUAAGAGUUCAUAUCGACGAAGGGGUUUACGACCUCGAUGUUGGAUCAGGACAUCCUAAUGGCGCAGCCGCUAUUAAGGGUUCGUUUGUUCAACGAUUAAUAGUCCUACGUGAUCUGAGUUCAGACCGGAGUAAUCCAGGUCAGUUUCUAUCUGUAAAGCUACUUUUCCUAGUACGAAAGGACCGGAAAAAGGGGGCCCAUGUUACAAACACGCCUCACUCCAACUUAAUGAAACCAACUAAAUUAAACAAAGGAAGAGCACCCCAUAAACCCCAGAUUAGGGACU